rnacentral:rRNA from 1 species
CCUACGGGAAGCAGCAGUGAGGAAUAUUGGUCAAUGGACGAGAGUCUGAACCAGCCAAGUAGCGUGAAGGAUGACUGCCCUAUGGGUUGUAAACUUCUUUUAUAUGGGAAUAAAACGUUCCACGUGUGGGAUUUUGUAUGUACCAUAUGAAUAAGGAUCGGCUAACUCCGUGCCAGCAGCCGCGGUAAUACGGAGGAUCCGAGCGUUAUCCGGAUUUAUUGGGUUUACAGGGAGCGUAGGUGGAUUGUUAAGUCAGUUGUGAAAGUUUGCGGCUCAACCGUAAAAUUGCAGUUGAAACUGGCAGUCUUGAGUACAGUAGAGGUGGGCGGAAUUCGUGGUGUAGCGGUGAAAUGCUUAGAUAUCACGAAGAACUCCGAUUGCGAAGGCAGUUCACUGGACUGCAACUGACACUGAGGCUCGAAAGUGUGGGUAUCAAACAGGAUUAGAUACCCCGGUAGUC